CAAAACUUUGUGAAACUCCCUAGCUGUCAUGAUCAGCAUGACAAAAGCGGACCCAAGCCGUUGCGUGCGCGUCCACACGUUUAUUGUGCGCGCCGCCGUUCCUGCGGAAUUCAGGAGGUUGUGGACGGACACCCAAAGGCUCCACUCCACAGAAUAAUGAACAAUAAAUUUGACGCUCUUAAAGAUGACGAUAGUGGAGACCACGACCAGGACCAAGGCUCACCGAAAAACUGUGAGAAGGAAAAAAAUGAAGACGAAGACAAGGAACAGAACAAUGCCAAGAAAAAAAUGGUGGUACCAGGGCCCGGAGAGCAUCCCCUUCAGUACAACUACACCUUCUGGUAUUCAAGACGUACCCCAGGGAGACCUGCCAGCACCCAGAGCUACGAGCAGAACAUCAAACAGAUCGGCGGUUUUGCCUCGGUGGAGCAGUUCUGGAGGUUCUACAGCCACAUGAUCCGCCCAGGAGACCUCACAGGACACAGUGACUUCCACCUGUUCAAGGAGGGCAUCAAGCCCAUGUGGGAGGACGAUGCCAACAAGAUGGGAGGGAAGUGGAUCAUCCGGCUGAGGAAGGGGCUGGCAUCGCGCUGCUGGGAGAACCUGAUCCUGGCCAUGCUGGGGGAGCAGUUCAUGGUGGGGGAGGAGAUCUGUGGGGCUGUUGUUUCCGUGCGCUUCCAGGAGGACAUCAUCUCCAUCUGGAACAAGACGGCCAGCGACCAGGCCACCUCGGGCCGCAUCCGAGACACCCUGCGCAGGGUGCUCAACCUGCCCCCCAACACCAUCAUGGAGUACAAGACGCACACAGACAGCAUCAAGUAUAGCCUGGGUAGACUUCCAUGGUCUGGUGACUGCUAGCGGAGGUCGCUGAAGCCACUCCCCCCACCAACCCCACCCCCAGUGCCGACGAUGUGAUUUGGAUGCUGGCUUGGGGGAAGGAAAAGUCCAGGGAUGGGCACCUCUGCUGCAACAAAGCAGAGUUUUAACAUGGAGACGGAGUGACUAAAAGGACAAGUAGCCCAACCUGCUUUGUCUUGCCAUGGAUCAUGAACUAUUGGAACUGAACCAAAAAAAAAAUGCAUUUGAGAGAACAUGGAUCUGAGCUGUCCGUUCGAGAGAGAAAUACUUUCUUAGUUUCAGCCGUGUGUGUGUGUGUGUGUGUGUGUGUGUGUGUGUGUGUGUGUGUGUGUGUGUGUGUGUGUGUGUGUGUGUGUGUGUGUGUGUGUGUGUGUGUGUGUGUGUGUGUGUGUGUGUCUUUUUAUUUAAAGAAAUGCGUAGUGCAACUGCCCUUGCUCACCACUAGAGGGAGCCUGUGGGACACGUUUGUUGAGCUGGCCAACAAAAGAAGAGUACUUGACUAGGGUUUCUAUGUAUACAACAUAAGCUGAUCAGUGAUGUAAAACCGAUACAGUUUUAUUGUGUAAAACAAUCACACGUGCCCUUUGUCAAAAUUUAAGUAAAUUACAGAGACAGUUUUAUUAGCAAUCUGAGACGAACCAGAUCGCAGGUGUUAUUUUAUUAUAGUACUUUAUUUUAACUAUGAAACAUCUGGUUAUUUGAACUAGAAAUAUUAUUUGUCUACAAAAAUAUAUUUGUAAAAACGAAAAAACAACUGACCACUGUAGAGAUUCGCCCUUUUGGAAUCAGAAACUAAGUUUCUUCUCCUUGUCCGUCUUAACCCCUGGACGAUGACUCCUAAAGGAUAAAAAAAAGAUAAACGAGUCUGGCAGAGAGUCUGGAAGGUUCUGUGUCGUAGGCGUCUAUGGAAGGGACUGUCAAAGCUGCCUAUAUCACUGUGCCUGACCUGGGGCCUGCGCCCGCUGACCAGGUUCUCAUAACCUCCUACCUUCUGUGUGGCUAAAGGGUCCUUGGAGCCGGGGCCCCCGCUGUGCCGUCCUUUCACACGCACGGGAUGGAUGAACAGGGGCCCUGGCGGUGGACUGAUCCCACCAGACCCCUCCCAUGGUUGUCCUUUUGUACUGAGGAUUUGAAACUAGGAGCAGGGGCUUGGGACUCCUCCACCCCCGUUACAGUUUUUCCACCAAUCCAUCUGAAUCUUUAAUUUGUUUUUACAGAAUUUCAGAGUUUGUUUUGUGCGUUAAACUGUAAUGCUGCCUAGGAUUGGAUACGUGGUGCUCGGAUCAGGUGUGUGUCAAAAACAAAAGAGGAAACGUAUUGUCUGAUGUACACCUGAUGGAUUAUAGCAAUAAAUGUCAAAUAUGCAUCUGCUGCUAUAA